rnacentral:rRNA from 1 species
CCUACGGGAGGCUGCAGUGAGGAAUAUUGGUCAAUGGACGAGAGUCUGAACCAGCCAAGUAGCGUGAAGGAUGACUGCCCUAUGGGUUGUAAACUUCUUUUAUAUGGGAAUAAAAUGUUCCACGUGUGGGAUUUUGUAUGUACCAUAUGAAUAAGGAUCGGCUAACUCCGUGCCAGCAGCCGCGGUAAUACGGAGGAUCCGAGCGUUAUCCGGAUUUAUUGGGUUUAAAGGGAGCGUAGGUGGAUUGUUAAGUCAGUUGUGAAAGUUUGCGGCUCAACCGUAAAAUUGCAGUUGAAACUGGCAGUCUUGAGUACAGUAGAGGUGAGCGGAAUUCGUGGGGUAGCGGUGAAAUGCUUAGAUAGAACGAAGAACUCCGAUUGCGAAGGCAGUUCACUGGACUGCAACUUACACUGAGGCUCGAAAGUGUGGGUAUCAAACAGGAUUAGAUACCCUUGUAGUC